AUGGAUGUUCUGCAAUAUGGAGUGUUCCUUGCUUUCAUUUCAAGUGUUUGCGGACAGUCACUGACCUCAUCUGAGUCUGUGGUGAAGAAUCCUGGACAGUCUGUCACUCUGUCCUGUACUGUGUCUGGAUUCUCUAUGAGCAGCUACUACAUGCACUGGAUCCGUCAGAAACCAGGGAAAGGACUGGAAUGGAUUGGAGCUAUUGACAGUGGGACUGGCACAGUCUUUGCCCAGUCUGUCCAGGGUCAGUUCUCCAUCACCAAAGGCACCAGCAAAAACAAACUGCAUUUAGAGGUGAAAAGCCUGAAAACUGAAGACGCAGCUGCUUAUUACUGUGCCAGAGACUCAUGCCACUUCUCAGACACUCACAGUGUCUACUCAACGGCGUCGUCAGAUGAUGACAGCAUCUCUGACCACCUUCCUGAGCCAAGAGUCAAGAAAAACUUUCAGCCUAAGAGCUACAGGGGUCGUUUUUCACGUUCCUAG